AGUGAACGCUGGCGGCAGGCCUAACACAUGCAAGUCAAGCGGCAGAACGGUGCUUGCUCGUUGUUUCAGGUGCGGACUGGCGAGUGGGGCAUAGGAACAUCGCAAGUAACGUGUUAGAGCGUGCGAACGCGGGGGCUCAUACGGCAAACGUGCAGACGACGUAAGGGGGGGAGCAGCGGACCUUCGGACCUCGCGUGAGCGUAUGUGCCUAGGUCGGAUUAGCUAGUUGGUGGGGUAAAGGCCCACCAAGGCGACGAUCCGUAGCUGGUCUGAGAGGAUGAUCAGUCACACUGGAACUGAGACACGGUCCAGACUCCUACGGGAGGCAGCAGUGGGGAAUAUUGGACAAUGGGCGCAAGCCUGAUCCAGCCAUGCCGCGUGGGUGAAGAAGGCCUUCGGGUUGUAAAGCACUUUUGUUGGGGAAGAAAAGCAGCAAGUUAAUACCUCGCUGUUCUGACGGUACCCAAAGAAUAAGCACCGGCUAACUUCGUG
rnacentral:rRNA from 1 species